rnacentral:rRNA from 1 species
GACGAACGCUGGCGGCGUGCUUAACACAUGCAAGUCGAGCGGAGCGGCCAAGGGGUGAGUAACGCGUGAGUAACUGCCCCCCUCCCUGGGAUGACAGAUGGAAACUGCUGCCAAUACCGGAUAGUGGGGGAUGACUCGCGUCCUAUCAGCUUGUUGGUGGGGUAGUGGCCUACCAAGGCGACGACGGGUAGCCGGCCUGGGAGGGCGACCGGCCACAAUGGGCUGAGAUACGGACCAAACGCCUACGGGGGGCAGCAGUGGGGAAUAUUGCACAAUGGGGGAAACCCUGAUGCAGCAACGCCGCGUGCGGGAUGACGGCCUUCGGGUUGUAAACCGCUUUCAGCCAUGACGCGGUAGUGGCAGAAGAAGCACCGGCUAACUACGUGCCAGCAGCCGCGGUAAUAC